UCUAAUUAGCUCAGCUGGUUCCUGUGUCAGUCUCCACCACUGCCUCAGUAUUUACGCUCCUUGUUUUUAAUUUUUCACACUGGAUGUGUAUGUUGUGCUCCUUCGGGUUCCGUGUCCUGCUCUCCUAGUGUUUACCUGCGACGCGGCUCCAUUCCACUCGAUUUGGCUCUACUUGGCUCCACCUCCUCCAAGAUUGGUUGUUGCUUCCUCGGCCUCCAUCCAAUCAGCAAUCAUCUACAUGCAAUUAGAUGGCUGUGAAGCUCCAUUUCAG